AUUAGCCAUGCAUGUCUCAGUACAAACCGCUUUAAGGCGAAACCGCGAAUGGCUCAUUAAAUCAGUUAUGGUUCCUUGGAUCUUACCCACGCUUACAUGGAUAACUGUGGUAAUUCUAGAGCUAAUACAUGAACCUCGUGCCCCGACCAGUGAUGGGAGGGGUGCUUUUAUUAGAACAAAACCAAUCGGCUCGUCCGUUGCCUUGGUGACUCUGAAUAACUUUUGGCUGAUCGCACGGUCCUGGCACCGGCGACGCAUCUUUCAAAUGUCUGCCUUAUCAACUUUCGAUGGUAGGUUCUGCGCCUACCAUGGUUGUAACGGGUGACGGGGAAUCAGGGUUCGAUCCCGGAGAGGGAGCCUGAGAAACGGCUACCACAUCCAAGGAAGGCAGCAGGCGCGCAAAUUACCCACUCCCGGAACGGGGAGGUAGUGACGAAAAAUAACGAUACGGGACUCAUCCGAGGCCCCGUAAUCGGAAUGAGAACACUUUAAAUCCUUUAACGAGGAUCUAUUGGAGGGCAAGUCUGGUGCCAGCAGCCGCGGUAAUUCCAGCUCCAAUAGCGUAUAUUAAAGUUGUUGCGGUUAAAAAGCUCGUAGUCGGAGGUGUGUCUCGGACGGUCGGUUCGCCGCUUGUCGGUGCUCAACUGGCCGGUCCGGACGUCCUGCCGGUGGGGCCUCACGGCCCCGUCAUCCUUCUUUGGUCCUCUUCACCGAGUGCCUUGGUGGGCCGGCACGUUUACUUUGAACAAAUUAGAGUGCUCAAAGCAGGCCGUUGGUCGCCUGAAUACUGUGUGCAUGGAAUAAUGGAAUAGGACCUCGGUUCCAUUUUGUUGGUUUUCGGGACUCGAGGUAAUGAUUAAUAGGGACGGACGGGGGCAUUCGUAUUGCGACGUUAGAGGUGAAAUUCUUGGAUCGUCGCAAGACGAACCGAUGCGAAGCAUUGCCAAGAACGUUUUCGUUGAUCAGAACGAAAGUUAGAGGUU
rnacentral:rRNA from 1 species